rnacentral:rRNA from 1 species
UACGGGGGGUGCGAGCGUUGUCCGGAAUCACUGGGCGUAAAGGGCGCGUAGGUGGUUUGAUAAGGCUGUGGUGAAAGCCCGGGGCUCAACCCCGGGUCUGCCGUGGCGACUGUCAGACUUGAGGGCUCGAGAGGCAGACGGAAUUCCGGGUGUAGCGGUGGAAUGCGUAGAGAUCCGGAAGAAGACCGGUGGCGAAGGCGGUCUGCUGGCGAGUACCUGACUCUGAUGCGCGACAGCGUGGGGAGCAAACAGG